GAUGAACGCUGGCGGCGUGCCUAAUACAUGCAAGUCGUGCGAACAGACGAGGAGCUUGCUCCUCUGACGUUAGCGGCGGACGGGUGAGUAACACGUGGAUAACCUACCUAUAAGACUGGGAUAACUUCGGGAAACCGGAGCUAGUACCGGAUAAUAUAUUGAACCGCAUGGUUCAAUAGUGAAAGACGGUUUUGCUGUCACUUAUAGAUGGAUCCGCGCCGCAUUAGCUAGUUGGUAAGGUAACGGCUUACCAAGGCAACGAUGCGUAGCCGACCUGAGAGGGUGAUCGGCCACACUGGAACUGAGACACGGUCCAGACUCCCACGGGAGGCAGCAGUAGGGAAUCUUCCGCAAUGGGCGAAAGCCUGACGGAGCAACGCCGCGUGAGUGAUGAAGGUCUUCGGAACGUAAAACUCUGUUAUUAGGGAAGAACAAAUGUGUAAGUAACUAUGCACGUCUUGACGGUACCUAAUCAGAAAGCCACGGCUAACUACGUG
rnacentral:rRNA from 1 species